rnacentral:misc_RNA from 1 species
UGGUUCUGGCAUCGAUGAAGAACGCAGCGAAAUGCGAUAAGUAGUGUGAAUUGCAGAAUUCAGUGAAUCAUCGAAUCUUUGAACGCACAUUGCGCCCCUUGGUAUUCCAUGGGGCAUGCCUGUUCGAGCGUCAUUUGCACCCUCAAGCUCUGCUUGGUGUUGGGCGUCUGUCUACUGCGUAGACUCGCCUCAAAGCAAUUGGCAGCCGGCGUCGUGGCGGAUAGAGCGCAGUACACUCGCGACCUCCCGCAGGCUUCCGGCCUCCAGCAGUACAUUUACUCGCUUGACCUCGGAUCAGGUAGGGAUACCCGCUGA